GAACAAGUGAGUCGGUAAUAUCAAUGCCUAAGAAUUACUUUGUUUGCCAUUUUAAUCGUUACAUCAGAGAGUAAUGGAUAUAGAAGAAAUAUGUAAACAGUUGUCCCUAGAAGAAAUAUGCAACAACUUAUUCAGGUUACUUAAUUAAUAACGCCUCUAUAUCAUUACAUACACAUACUGAAUGUGCCUUUUGAGAGUGAGCUUCUAUCAGUACCUCACACUUAUCUUAUAUGCCAUUCCUACUAUAUGUUGAAGUAGAGAGCAAGGGACAUAUAAGAAAUCUCCAGGCAGCUUCGCUUAGAUGCAUCAUCUUCUGCUAGGACCUAGGAGUC
rnacentral:lncRNA from 1 species